rnacentral:ncRNA from 1 species
UGAUAAAGGCAAACUCAUUGAAAAGUGAGGACGCAAAGCUAUAGGGGCUUCAUUAGAUAUAUGCCAGCCAGCUACC